AGUAAAGGCAUCUGUAUUAACUGUGCGAGAUUCAGGUACCUGGUGGCUUUCUAUCCCUAAUGCUGGUAUUUUUAUGAAAAAUUUAAUUCGAGGCCGGAAAGCUGCCAUUACAAUUAUUAAGAAAACAAAAUACAAAGAAAUUUUCAAAGAUGAUCUGGAACAACGGAAGUGGCCUCGUCUAGCUAGGUUGGGUAUAGUCUACCAUAUUCAUGAUAUUAUUGGUGCUGACUUGGUUGACUGCAUCCAAACCACAAAUGGAAUCUUGUUGCGACUGCGUGAAUGAUGCGACUGCAUGAUAUGUUGCAAGCAUCAGCUUGUGGGUCAAAGAUUAAUGAUCUUAUUCCUCCAUCUGGAUUAGAUCGACAACCACCACCACCGCUGCCACCACCACCACCACUAUUAACUACUUUAACUUCUACUUCAGUUUGAUAACAAGCACUUGGAGAAUCUCUCGGAUUCAAGGCAGCGGUAUAUUGGAUUUGAGCCAAGAGACUAUCAGUGUGGGCCACCCUACUCUGCCUCUGUUUUACAGUAUUUUCUU
rnacentral:lncRNA from 1 species